rnacentral:rRNA from 1 species
AUACGUAGGUGACAAGCGUUAUCCGGAUUUACUGGGCGUAAAGGGCGUGUAGGCGGUCUUGCAAGUCAGAAGUGAAAUUCCUGAGCUCCACUCGGGCGCUGCUUCUGAAACUGCAGGACUUGAGUGCUGGAGGGGAUAGCGGAAUUCCUAGUGGAGCGGUAAAAUGCGCAGAUAUUAGGAAGAACACCGGUGGCGAAGGCGGCUAUCUGGACAGUAACUGACGCUGAGGCGCGAAAGCGUGGGGAGCAAACAGGAUUAGAUACCCUGGUAGUCCACACUGUAAACGAUGAUUGCUAGGUGUGGGGGGACUGACCCCUUCCGUGCCGGAGUAAACACAAUAAGCAAUCCACCUGGGGAGUACGACCGCAAGGUUGAAACUCAAAUGAAUUGGCGGGG